GCCUGGGAGCCGCGUCUUCUGGUGGUGACUGAUCCCAGGGCCGACCCCCAGCCUCUCACAGAGGCGUCUUAGGUUAACCCACCUACCA